AAGGAGUCCAACACACAUGCGAGUGCUUGGGUGGCAAACCCGAGCGCGCAAUGAAAGUAAAUGUAGGUGCGAUGCUUUACGGCUGCACCAUCGACCGGACUGGAUUUUUUUGGAAGAUCUGAGUAAGAGCAUGUUUGUUGGGACCCGAAAGAUGGUGAACUAUGCCUGGAUAGGGUGAAGCCAGAGGAAACUCUGAUGGAGGCUCGUAGCGAUUCUGACGUGCAAAUCGAUCGUCAAAUUUGGGUAUAGGGGCGAAAGACUAAUCGAACCAUCUAGUAGCUGGUUCCCUC
rnacentral:misc_RNA from 1 species